CAAAAGCUUGGUCCUGACUUUAUUAUCAGUUGUAGCCUAAAUUACACAUGCAAGUAUCCGCACCCCUGUGAGAACGCCCCCCUGCCCCUGAGCCCAGGAGAGGAGGAGCCGGCAUCAGGCACACUCAAAAGUAGCCCAAAACGCCUCGCACAGCCACACCCCCAAGGGAACUCAGCAGUGACAAAUAUUAAGCCAUAAGCGAAAGCUUGACUUAAUUAAGGUUAAACAGAGCCGGUAAAACUCGUGCCAGCCGCCGCGGUUAUACGAGAGGCUCAAAUUGAUACUCCUUCGGCGUAAAGUGUGAUUAGAGACUAAUAAAAACUAAAGCUAAAUAUCCCUUAAACUGUCAUACGUUAACUGGGACCAGAAGCCCCCCAACGAAAGUAGCUUUAAUAAUUCUUGAACUCACGACCAUUAAGAAACAAACUGGGAUUAGAUACCCCAUUAUGCUUAAUUGUAAACAACGAUGGCAACAUACAAAUACCAUCCGCCAGGGGACUACGAGCGCUAGCUUAAAACCCAAAGGACUUGGCGGUGCCUCAAACCCACCUAGAGGAGCCUGUUCUAGAACCGAUAACCCCCGUUAAACCUCACCACCCCUUGCCAACCCAGCCUAUAUACCGCCGUCGCCAGCUUACCUCUUGAGCGAUUAACAGUAAGCCAAACGGGUAAUACCCAACACGUCAGGUCGAGGUGUAGCGAAUGAGGUGGGAAGAAAUGGGCUACAUUUUCUGACCCAGAAUACAACGAAAAGUGCCAUGAAAAAGCAAUAAUGAAGGUGGAUUUAGCAGUAAAAAGAAAACAGAGAGUUCUUUUGAAGCCGGCUCUGAGGCGCGUACACACCGCCCGUCACUCUCCUCGAAACCAACCAGAUAAUUUCUAAUGACCUGAACAACAAAAGAGGAGGCAAGUCGUAACAUGGUAAGUGUACCGGAAGGUGCACUUGGAAAAAU
rnacentral:ncRNA from 1 species